AAAUGAAUAGACGGGGGCCCGCACAAGCGGAGGAACAUGUGGUUUAAUUCGAUGAUACGCGAGGAACCUUACCCAGGCUUAAAUUGCAGAUGAAUAUAGUGGAAACAUUAUAGCCUUCGGGCAUCUGUGAAGGUGCUGCAUGGUUGUCGUCAGCUCGUGCCGUGAGGUGUCGGCUUAAGUGCCAUAACGAGCGCAACCCUUAUUGAUAGUUACUAACAGGUUAAGCUGAGGACUCUAUCGAGACUGCCGUCGUAAGAUGCGAGGAAGGUGGGGAUGACGUCAAAUCAGCACGGCCCUUACGUCUGGGGCUACACACGUGUUACAAUGGGGGGUACAGAAGGUCGCUACCUGGCAACAGGAUGCUAAUCCCAAAAGCCUCUCUCAGUUCGGAUUGGAGUCUGCAACCCGACUCCAUGAAGCUGGAUUCGCUAGUAAUCGCGCAUCAGCCACGGCGCGGUGAAUACGUUCCCGGGCCUUGUACACACCGCCCGU
rnacentral:rRNA from 1 species